AAAAAAAUCUGAUAUGGACUAUGGGUUGGGCUGACCUUUUCGAUAGCUAAAUUUGGGCCUAGUUUUAGGCCUGGUCAACGUCAGUCAACAACUCUAGGAGUUCGGGUCAGGAACUUGGUCACCCCUAUAUCGGUCGGGUCUUACACGAGCGAAGCGUGGACCCUAUAGUUUUCAAAACGGCGCCGUUUAAUUAUUAUUUAAAUACCUAAAAUUUUGUUGUUUUCCUCACUUUUCUUUCUAUUCUCUCUCUAUCUUCACUCUCUCUAGAAUCCUCUCUCCGAAUUCUAGAAAUUCAAGAACUCAACCGAGAAACUCGAGGAACCCAGAUUGCGUUCUACCCUAACCCCACCGUCUGCCGUCUUUCACAGGUAACCGCCGCUCGUUGAUACCAUAUAAGCUGAAAAAACCUUCCUUCGAUUGAUUUCCAUCUCCUUGCCUUUUCUGAAUCGAAAUCACCUAAUCUUCUUUAUUCAACCCUAGAUCUAGCCCCGAAAAUCCAAACACUUUACUAUUAAAACACCAUCUAUUAACCCAAAAAACACUAUAGAAUCGCUUUCCCUUUUCUUAGUUUAACCAAAACAAAGAAAAUCCCGAAACUAACAAAACCCAACAGAAUUGGAAAACCCAGGAAACUAUUUCUGCUACUGUUUGUUUGCUUCUCAGUAUGAUUGAUAAUUGUUGAUUGUUUCUGAAUUUAGCUUUCCGUUUGAUUGUAGACCCCCUUUUGUUUGUAAAACCCAUAUUGAAAGCUUAAAAAAAGCUAUUGCGUAAAAACCUCAAAAAUCUUUGAGUGCCAAAAACCUUUUUUAAUCUUCUGUAUUUUCUUGUUUUUGAAGCACCCCUUCCUACGAAUCGGAAAAUUGAAACCCUGAAAACAUAUUCCCCAGAAUCGAGACCUGCUGCAUUUUUUUCUUAAUUACCUCCUCCCUUACGUAUUUUUUGGUUGAUUGCUGGAUGGUUGUUUUUAUAGGGCUUUAGUUUUAAUCUAAACAGAACUCUUAAUCCAGAAGGACUUUCUGUUUGAAAAAAAGUUCUCAUUAAAAUUUUUUCUUCAAUCAAAAAUAAAUUUUACUUUCAAAAGAAGUUCAAUCCCAACCAAUUUCGGUUUUCCAACGCAUCAAUAAACAAUAAAAAACAGACGAUACAACUACGAUGGGCUUGGGGCCUAAACCAAAACCAAGGCCGGAAACUAGUGAUGCAAUCAAAUAACAAACUUGAAUUUAAAUGGAAAGACUUCAUACAAAAUGAGAUAUUUAUGGUUGUCUAUUUUUUGUGCAUUUUUGGGGAAUAGAAAUUACGUAAGGAUAGACAAUUAUUACAUUCAGCACAAGCUUAAAAUAAAAAUUAAGAGAUUUUCAGCAAAAGUAUUAAAACUUAAAUAUUUAUAUUUGAAAUUUAAAGAUUUGUAUUAAAAAAUUUUAAAAAAUUUCAUCUAAUAAUUCAAAUAAAAUUUAAAUAUUCGUAUUUAAAAAAUUUACUUAUAAAAUUUAAAUAUUUACAUUUCAAAAAUUAAAAAAUUUAUAUUUAACAUUGAAAGAUU
rnacentral:lncRNA from 1 species